UGAACGCUGGCGGCAUGCCUUACACAUGCAAGUCGAACGGCAGCGCGGGGCAACCUGGCGGCGAGUGGCGAACGGGUGAGUAAUAUAUCGGAACGUACCCUGGAGUGGGGGAUAACGUAGCGAAAGUUACGCUAAUACCGCAUACGAUCUAAGGAUGAAAGUGGGGGAUCGCAAGACCUCAUGCUCCUGGAGCGGCCGAUAUCUGAUUAGCUAGUUGGUAGGGUAAAAGCCUACCAAGGCUUCGAUCAGUAGCUGGUCUGAGAGGACGACCAGCCACACUGGAACUGAGACACGGUCCAGACUCCUACGGGAGGCAGCAGUGGGGAAUUUUGGACAAUGGGCGCAAGCCUGAUCCAGCAAUGCCGCGUGAGUGAAGAAGGCCUUCGGGUUGUAAAGCUCUUUUGUCAGGGAAGAAACGGUGAGAGCUAAUAUCUCUUGCUAAUGACGGUACCUGAAGAAUAAGCACCGGCUAACUAC
rnacentral:rRNA from 1 species